UUCCCGGGGUAGAGGAAUAGUGCCCGAAUGGUGUGACGUCAAAUGUAUUGUCUUUGGUCAUGAUCGGUCUCGGUUGAUUUGAACGCAAGUCAGUUGGUGUGUGAGUGAACUGCGCAGAACAUCGCUGGAAAACUUUUUCCGAUUUCAAAGGUAAAAUUCCCCUCAACAUUUCGGAAAUCAAGUUAAAAGAGCUGCAGCAGAAGAGGGAUGGACCGACUCCCUUCCCGCGGCUGAACCCGGCAUCCUCCCAUCGAUGUAUACAAGCCACCUGUCCUACUUCUACCGGCAUCGUGACUAGACCUACAUGGUGACGAACAGUAACUCUGGACCUAGAGUGCUUAUAAAUCAGGAUGUAUGGAUGUAACAGAAUGAACAAGGAUAGAGUAUUCCGUAGGGAGUUUUCGCAAAAGAUUAGGGACAAUCCAGGAUGAAUGAGUGUACAUGUAACAUUUUUAAAUACCCUAAGAUAUAGUGUUCUGGGGACUGAUGAAUAUACAUGUAUUAUGCGCAUUAAUCUCUUAGGUGUUGAUGUACACCAACCAACAGGGAAGGACUUGUUGCCAGAGGGACAUUUCCUACUACUUCACUGGAAUAGAAAUCCUACCUAACUGUAGCGCCACCUGUUCCCACAUGUGGUGCCCACGUACAGAUUGUUGUUAGAAUAUCUUUUUGUAAAACCUUUUCAUGAUAUUUGACCAAUGUAUCAGGACGUUGAAUAUCUAAAUUUGUCCUAAACAUAUCAAAUAAAGAAUGAUAGUUUCACAA